UUUUGGACAAUGGGCGAAAGCCUGAUCCAGCAAUGCCGCGUGCAGGAUGAAGGCCUUCGGGUUGUAAACUGCUUUUGUACGGAACGAAACGGUUCUCCUUAAUACGGGGGGCUAAUGACGGUACCGUAAGAAUAAGCACCGGCUAACUACGUGCCAGCAGCCGCGGUAAUACGUAGGGUGCGAGCGUUAAUCGGAAUUACUGGGCGUAAAGCGUGCGCAGGCGGUUAUAUAAGACAGAUGUGAAAUCCCCGGGCUCAACCUGGGACCUGCAUUUGUGACUGUAUAGCUAGAGUACGGUAGAGGGGGAUGGAAUUCCGCGUGUAGCAGUGAAAUGCGUAGAUAUGCGGAGGAACACCGAUGGCGAAGGCAAUCCCCUGGACCUGUACUGACGCUCAUGCACGAAA
rnacentral:rRNA from 1 species